rnacentral:sRNA from 1 species
UCUAUAAUUAGUCAAAUGCAUUGGAUUAUGAAACAUUUUGACCAUAGAAACACUAACAAAGCUAUUUACUGCUUCUCCUAAGCAAAUUUUUGUUGGUUUUAGCCUCUUUUGGGAGAAAAUGGGUAUAAUUGUUGUCUAAACACUCCUAAUCCAUCUCUAACUCUAUAAUUAGUCCAAUGCAUUGGAUUGUGAAACAUUUUGACCAUAGAAACACUAACAAAUCUAUUGACUGCUUUUAAGCAAAA